rnacentral:rRNA from 1 species
CGAACGAGACUUUCGGGUCUAGUGGCGGACGGCUGNNUAACGCGUAGGUAACGUACCUCUUACUGGGGGAUAACAUCGGGAAACCGGUGCCAAUACCGCAUAAGUCGUGUCUUGAAAUAGAUACGAUUAAAGAUUUAUCGGUAAGAGAUUGNCCUGCGUCUGAUUAGCUAGUUGGUAGGGUAAUGGCCUACCAAGGCGAUGAUCAGUAGUUGGUCUGAGAGGAUGACCA